rnacentral:lncRNA from 1 species
CAAAUUAUUUCUGAGAAUAGAUAUAAUAGAAUAUUAUUAUUAGAUAAAUUAUGGGUUUAUAUAAAUGCCAAAUUUAGUACAACAAAUUUAGAUCAUCAGUGAAUACAAGUAUGUUUUUUUAACAUGAAACAUAUUUUAAUACAGAAAAUAAACUAAUGAUAAAGUAUUGGUUGAAAAAUAUUUUUUAACUCUGUUCAUGAUAAUUGAUUCUCCUUCCACUUCACUGUUAUUAUACUGUGUGAAUCAAACACUAUGUCAAAUAAAGCAUUUCCCUGUUAAAAAUUACAAUCUGAAGUGAUAGAGGCAUGUGCAGAAUUGAGAAACACUUUGAUUCAAGGAAGAACAAUGUGUGAUGUACUCUAUUUUAUUAUGUUUGUAUAUAAAUACUCUUGUAAAUUGUUCAGAAUGGAAAAGAUUUGACAAAUUCUAACACUACAAACAAUUUUUCUAAAUUACAUAAAUAAAGCUACU